UACAGGGGGGGCAAGCGUUGUUCGGAAUUACUGGGCGUAAAGGGUUCGUAGGCGGCUUACUAAGUCAAACGUGAAAUCCCUCAGCUUAACUGGGGAACUGCGUCUGAUACUGGAAAGCUUGAGUGCAGGAGAGGAACGCGGAAUUCCAGGUGUAGCGGUGAAAUGCGUAGAUAUCUGGAGGAACACCGGUGGCGAAGGCGACUACCUGGCCUGUUCUUGACGCUGAGGCGCGAAAGCUAGGGGAGCAAACGGG
rnacentral:rRNA from 1 species